rnacentral:rRNA from 1 species
CCCCUAGAUGUUCUGGGCCGCACGCGCGCUACACUGAACAGUUCAACAAGUCUUAACCUUGGCCGAUAGGUCUGGGUAAUCUUUGAACGCUGUUCGUGAUUGGGAUAGACCUUUGCAAUUAUGGGUCUUCAACGAGGAAUUCCUAGUAAACGCAAGUCAUCAGCUUGCAUUGAUUACGUCCCUGCCCUUUGUACACACCGCCCGUCGCUCCUACCGAUUGAAUGGUCCGGUGAAGCGCUCGGACCGCGGCCUCUUGACGGUUCGCUGUCGAUUGGCUGUGGGAAGUUCGUUAAACCUUAUCAUUUAGAGGAAGGAGAAGUCGUAACA